CUCAAGUCUCCUGGAACCUGAGCAGGCACAGCCACCUCCAGAAUCAUUAAGGUUGGACAACAAGACCACUAAGGUCAUGUAGUCCAACCACCAACCCAUCACUGCCAUGCUCACUAACCACGUCACUCGGAAGGACCAAGACAAAGCCAAGUCUUUGCGCUAUGUUCCCCUUCAAACCUGCUGUCACACCAGCCUGGUUCUCACUUUAGCUGGAUGUUCAUCAGCUUUCUGUGGGUCUUACGGCCUCCAAAAGAAACACAGAGAGGCACUCGCCACCGCUUCAUGCACGGGCCCUGAUGCCCCUGUGCGCCGGGAGGUGACAGUCCAGAGGCAUGCAUUGAAAUCCUCAUGUGGAAGCAUGCUGGGACGGUGCCACGCACUUCAGAGAAACAGAUGUUGAAAGCUUCUGGAUGACAGAGCAGGAGAGGCCCUUAUGCUGUAAGGAAUCAGUGAUCACAAGGUAAGUUUGUUUUUUUACUUCAUGUUUAAGCCGUCUCUAAAAGAAAGCUGUGUCAGAGGUUGUGGUAGUGUAUUAGAGCUAUGGGUAGCAUAGUGUAGUUGCUUUGCAGGAAGUUGUGGCUGAUUUUCUCUUUAACCGAAGCCAUCCCAUGAUUGUGUGGUGGAUGGGGAAGGGUUUUGUUGUUAGAAAAGAUGGUUGAACAUCUUGGGGUAGGUCAUUAGAAGAUGCUGUAGUAGGAGGUUGCUCAGGAGAAAGGUAUGUGGGUCCUUUCAGGGGAACUUGUUCUCAUAGUCCUGAUUUUUAGAGGCAUAACCUGAAUAUUAAUUAGAAGAUCAAUGUAUCUAGGUGUGAAAUUUCAUUCCUGUCUUGGUUAAGCUGUACUGGAGAGUGGCAUGUUUCUGCUGUGGGUGCAUUGUACCCUUGUUCUUUAGAGGUCUCAAGCGCUCCUGUCAUAGUUGCAGGUAAAUAGGGGACCUUGCUAAAAAGGCUCAGCUUCUACAGCAGCCUUUACAAAUGAGAGAUCUUGCCUGAAAGCAAGAAAGAUGAAAUUAAGACAAGUGCAAAGUGCUCCUUUUAGACAGGCAAAACAGAAGACAAACACAAAACAGGGAAUGCGUGAUGAGGCAGCAGUACAGCAGGUGAGGACCUGGGGUUUGUGCUGCUUCACAAGCAGAAUACGAAUCAACCCUGCACUGCUGCUGCAAAACAGCUCAUUGUACCCAACGCUGUAUUAACGAGAGUGCUCUUUGCCAGAUAUGAGAGGCAAUUAUUGCAAUCUGCUUGGGGCUGGCAGAGCUUCAGCCAAGUGUGGGUGUCUGGAACUGAUGAGAAACUUUGUCUACACCCAUUCAAAAAUUGGGAGGGAUAGUCCAGUGAGGGAUGGGGAAGGUGAAUGAUAAGAGGUUAGGCAAACAAGUACUGUAAACAAUGCUUGAAGACA
rnacentral:lncRNA from 1 species